CCACUUCCCAGUCGGAGACAACUCUUCACUUACCAGGUUAAUGUAUUUUCCAGUUUAAAUGUUAUGUAGAUAAACUUUACAUCUUUUGGCACAUUGAUAUAUUUAGUCUCAUGAAUUGAUUUUUUGAGCAUCUUUUGUCAGGGGUUUUCCUAACCUUUCUUUUUGCUGUUGUCAUCUUCUCUUGUAGUUUUUUUGGAUGCUUGGCAUUUGUCAAUAUUGUUUUGAAUAUUA
rnacentral:lncRNA from 1 species